rnacentral:rRNA from 1 species
AGUGAACGCUGGCGGUAGGCCUAACACAUGCAAGUCGAACGGCAGCACAGUAAGUUCUUGCUCUUACGGGUGGCGAGUGGCGUACGUGUGAGUUAUACAUCGUAAUCUACUUUUUCGUGGGUCAUAACGUAGGGAAACUUACGCUAUUACCGCAUACUACCUACGGUUGAAAGCAGUGGAUCUUCGUACCUUUCGCGUUUUAAUGAGCCGAUGUCGGAUUAGCUAGUUGGCGGGGUAAAGGCCCACCAAGGCGACGAUCCGUAGAUGGUCUGAGAGGAUGAUAAGACACAAUGGAAGGGAGACAAGGUCAAGACGCAUACGGGAGGGAGCAGUGGGGAAUAGUGGACAAUGGGGGAAAGCAUGAUACAGCAAUACCGAGUGGGUGAAGAAGGACUUGGGAUUGUAAAGACAUUUUGUGGGGAAAGAAAAGCAGCAGGUUAAUAACAAGCUGUAGUGACGGUACCCAAAGAAUAAGCACCGGCUAACUACGUG